rnacentral:rRNA from 1 species
CCCUUAGAUGUUCUGGGCCGCACGCGCGCUACACUGUUCGACGCAGCGAGUCUUAACCUUGACCGAAAGGUUUGGGUAAUCUUCAGCAAAGUCGAACGUGAUGGGGAUCGAUCAUUGCAUUUAUUGAUCGUGAACGAGGAAUUCCUAGUAAGUGCAAGUCAUCAGCUUGCGCUGAUUACGUCCCUGCCCUUUGUACACACCGCCCGUCGCUACUACCGAUUGAAUGGUUUAGUGAGAUCUCUGGAUUGACGCUGGCUAGGGGGCGACCCUUGGCCAGACUGUUGAGAAACUGCUCAAACUUGAUCAUUUAGAGGAAGUAAAAGUCGUAACA